AACGAACGCUGGCGGCAGGCUUAACACAUGCAAGUCGAGCGCCCCGCAAGGGGAGCGGCAGACGGGGGAGUAACGCGUGGGAACGUACCCUUUGCUACGGAAUAGCUCCGGGAAACUGGAAUUAAUACCGUAUGUGCCCUACGGGGGAAAGAUUUAUCGGCAAAGGAUCGGCCCGCGUUGGAUUAGCUAGUUGGUGGGGUAAUGGCCUACCAAGGCGACGAUCCAUAGCUGGUCUGAGAGGAUGAUCAGCCACAUUGGGACUGAGACACGGCCCAAACUCCUACGGGAGGCAGCAGUGGGGAAUAUUGGACAAUGGGCGCAAGCCUGAUCCAGCCAUGCUGCGUGAGUGAUGAAGGCCUUAGGGUUGUAAAGCUCUUUCACCGGAGAAGAUAAUGACGGUAUCCGGAGAAGAAGCCCCGGCUAACUUCGUGCCAGCCGCCGCCGUAAGAC
rnacentral:rRNA from 1 species